UCUGGAGUAAUCAAGAUUAUUAUUCUUUGCGCGUUUCUUUUGAAACUGCAGCAUUAGAGGAACAUACUUCUUCAGGACUUGUUUAGAAAGAUUGAGCGUGACGGAAUGUGUUUUUACGCGAUGUGGCACAGAGCACGGUUACAUCAUGUACAUGUUUUGUUAAAGCCCUAAUGAAAAGACCGUUCGAUUAAACAGCCGAUUUACGUGCCAAAGAAAAAUGAGCCUUGCAGAUCGGACGGAGCUUUGGGGAAACGCAUAUUGCUUAAAUAAUGGGACAAUUGAAGGGACACAAAGCCACAUGCAGAUUCCUCUCAUGCUGCUGUUGCAUAUUGUCCAGGAAAGAUCUCUGCUGAACUGACCGAUCACCCAGGAGCUUGGCAUCACCGGAUGAUUGCUUUCGUUCUAGAACGAAUGUAUAAUUUCAGUUA